rnacentral:lncRNA from 1 species
UUUUCAUUUUUUUUCUUCAUAGGAGGCCAAAAUCGCAAUUUUUUGAAACUUGGGAGUGAAAAAUGCACUUUAGUCUAAAAUAAAGGACAACAAUACAAUAUUUUGACCAAUGUUAGACGACAAUAGCAUAAUAAAUAUCUUAUACAUAAUACAAUAACACCAACACAACUACAACUUUAAAAAUUAAAGGAAAUCCUCUACUUCACUCUCACAAUCAAAGCUCCAUUGUUCUUCUCUUAUCAUCAUGUUGACUACAAUCUGCAUAUAAUGCAUAUAGUAAGAUGAUACACAAAGAAGAAGUGAGUACAUAUUAUAUCAUUUUAAAGGUACUACCUCCGUCCUUUAUUAUAAGACCCUUUUAGAAAAAACACGGGUUUUAAGAAAGUUGAUUAUUGUAUUAAAUUUGUUGACAAAUGAUAUUUUUUUUUUCAUGUUUACACUUCUAAUAAUUGAAAUCACAGUUCAUUAUUUUCCUAUAUUAAUUACCCACUACUACUUGAAUAAUGCACCAAAUUAAUUUAUCUCAUUGUAUCCAUAAUUGAAAAGGAAGCGUGAAUAACCAUUCCUUUUUUUUUUCCUAAAAAAAUAAAUUGAAAUCACUCUUUUUUUUCCCAAAAUUUCAAUUUUGAAGCUCCAGACUUAAAAUUUUUAGGAAUUAUUUUCAAAUUUUUGGCGCCAUUUUUUUAAGAACAUGGAGCAUGAAACAAGAGUAUAUAAACAUAUAGAGAAUUAAACAUAUUCUUCAUGAAAGAUUAUAGUAUAUCAUUAUAAAGUCAGCUAGUGCAUGAAUGAGAGUUAUACUAUUUUGUUUUCCCACGUAAACUUAUUGCUCUUCUUUUAUCAAAAGAAAAAAGAAUUUAUUGCUUUUCAAAAAAAUAUGUAGAGUAAAUAGGGGUAAUUUUGUAAAUAAAUAAUUAAUGCACUUGAAAAUAUCAAAAGGUCUUAUAAAAAGGGACACAAUUUUUUUCUAAAAGGGUUCUAUAAUAAGGGACGAAGAUAGUAUAAAGUAAAAGCAUAUGAACACACACACACAACAUCACAACAAUCAUGAUAGUAUAAUAUCAUAUGAUAUAAUGAUUACAAAUGUCUUACUCAACAUGCACUAAUCCAUAUCAAUAUGCUACCAAACUAACUUAUGAAAAAUUUGAUUAAGAUGGCAUCUUGUCUCACAUGUGAAGUAUAAAUGUGGAUUAUACGUCUUCAUUUAGUACACUCUCACUAAUGUGAUAUCAUUAAAUGAUUAGUUUACUUGUGUAUAAUAUGGUAUGACCUAACAUAAUAUAGCCAUUCUAGGUCAUUUAGAAUUUUCUCGUCAAACUUUCUAGGGUUAGGAUCUUGCCCUAAAUGCCUCACUAUUUCACAUCCACUUCAUCAAUUCAACAUGGUUAGUCUCUUGAUAAAUAUUUUGAAUGACCAUGAUACAUCAAAUAACAAGUGCACACCAUCCUUACCUCUACAAGCUAAGUCCCUAACAAUCACAAUAUUCAUUUAUUACAUCGUAAUAUUUCUUAGCCUUGGCCAAUAGUCAUCAACCAUGUAUCAUGCUUGCAUUAUUCAUCAUAGGUCACUUGAUAUCUUUUUCACCUCGUUCAUCCCGAGCAGACAAUAUAGACCAGGUAUUAUUCUAUCCUUUCUAGACCUAAAUCACACAAUAUCAAGUAUAACUCUAUCACGUAGUCUGAUAAAAUAUAUAUUCAAACUUCCUCAAGAUAACAUUCUAAAAUAUCAAUAUCAAUAUCAAUUAACUAGUCUCUUGAUGUUUAAAUAAUACUUCUAAAAUUCUUACAUUGUAUAUCAAAGACUCAGGUUAUACUUGUUAACUUAUAUUUAUCAAUCAUAUGCAAAAGAAAAGGUAACAACACUACAUAAUAUUAACAAUACACCUGUAUGGAUAUUAGAGAGAUGAGAAGGUCAGAGAAACAUCUACAAAAGUGUUGGAGAAAACAUAAGAGCAAUAAAGUUAUUAUGAGAAAAUAAAACUAUAGAUUUAUUCAUAACAUAUAAUUAUUUUUCAACUUACCUAUGAUUUAAUGCAAUGACACACGGGAAAAAUACAUCUCGGAACAUCAUCAGGAUUCUUACAUUUAUCUUGUGGGCAAUCAGAAUCAUAAAAACAUAAAACAUAUGCUGUGAUACACAAUAAGAAAGAAAAAAAACUAGUUAUUGAAUAGGGAUUAAGAUUUGCCUCAAAGGAAAAAAUAAAAAAGAAUGAUAGAUGGCUUACUUUCGGUGUUGGCUACAACAAAAAAUAGGAAAAUAAAUAUGAUCAUAACAUAAACAAGGUUAAGAACUUUAGUCAUAUUUUUUCUCUUUUGGAUGUAACUAUGUGAAAUGUUUUUAUUCACUUUAUAGUCAUAUAUAUGUAUAUGUAUA